UGAAGGAACUCCUAUUGAGUUCUUGGAAGGAGAUGGGGAUAACACUUUGAUAGCUAGGCUGAAAUCAGAGUUGAACAUUUCUCUAAAUAAACGCUUUGAAAAAAAUCAUGUUGUAAAAAAUGUGACUGGGACAUUGUAUAAAAUGAAGAGUGCCCUUAAACUAAGUGACAAUGUUAUAUCACACAUGAAAAAUAUGUUUGUCCUAUGCUUUCUCAAAAAAUCUAGGUGAUAAAAUUGGAAUGGAGGAGAACAUUCGUGCAUUGAUACCGCACCAAUUUGCAGACCACAUUCUCUGCCACGGACGAUUCUGUGGAUAUAAAAGAAGGCCGUCUGAAAAGUAUGUGCACCGCAGUCUGCCAUAUAUGGCACCGCUACAUGACAGUAAUCUCAGGACCAAGCUACAGGCGGUGUUUGACGCUGUUACAGCAAAUGCCCACAGUUACGUUGACCUUGGAUCUAGUCAACAAUGCGAGUCGCCCAACAGACGUGUCUCGUUGCACGCACCAAAAUCACAUUACUAUAGUGACACUAAGAGUCUGGACUACCGUGUUGAAGCGACUGCUGCUUGUAUAAAUAAGGGAAGACAUUACCUAUCGCAGUUUAGUCAACUACAUGGACACAGUCACAUCCAAAGUCAUAAGAAGAGAACUCAAACAUAGGGAUUUGAAAAGUUGGGGCUUUCUCCAGGGGAGUACACUAUUCAACAUUCGGAAAGACAGUUGAAACGGCGGAGGGAACUGACAGAUAGAGCCCUGUUGCUAUUUCAAAAGGGGAAAGAUUUAGUCGAGUAUAGAAUUUUUGUAC
rnacentral:lncRNA from 1 species